AGUUCCACCCUAGCCCUAAACUGAUAGACUUCAAGUUCAGUGUCAAUUUGUAAGAUAACACCUGUGUAGUUGAACCCUAAAUGUAGCCAUCUAACUCCAGUAGCCACCGUACAGUACUUUUGAUAAAGUUACCAAUACCAGAUGAUACGUCAAAGACCUGAAAGGGAAUAUGGUGAAGUGUCUAGGAGAUGCGUGGCCCAGAUCGGGGGUUGCAGAGAGGGGCAGUGUAGAAAAAAAACCAAGCACUUAAGCCAUCAAUGUUGGGUGCAUUUUAAGGCAUUGACAGAUGUUGAGCCAACGAAGAUGUGACACGGGUUGUAGAAUUCUUCAGUGAUCAAACCAAGAAGUUUCUGUGGCUCCUUGCUCGGCUGGUUCGCUUCACCACAGAGGGCAGUGUUCUGAUUUUUGUAUCAAAGAAAAUCAAUGCAGAAGACCUGGCCACUAGCCUCAAGAGAAAAGAUUUUGAAGAUAUGAACCAGCUGGAGAGGAAUGAAGUCAUUACAUCUUUCAAGAGGAGAGCUAUACCAAUCUUAGUUGCAAGGGAUGUAGCAGCGAGAGGUCUUGAUAUCCCGUCAAUCAAGAAUGUUGUCAACUAUGACAUAGCUAGAGACAUUGAUACUCGUAGGAUAGGAAGAACCGGA